AAUUAUAAGCUGGAACUAUAGGUGUGGCAUGAGGGGGCGUUCAGGAAUAACAGGGCGAGGCCUCAAACAUACUUAGCACAUGGUGCUUGCAGCUGCACCAGACUGCAGCUGCUCAUGCAGCUUUAUACCAUCACUGACUGCAUGCCUGUACCCGUACCCCUGGCCCUGGGCUACCAUGUUCCAUGUACACCAGCUAGGAUCUAGGAGUCAAGAGUCACCUGCAUCUGCAGCUUGAAAGAAAAGACAAUUGCAAAUUUUCUUAAAGAGUAGAUAGUACCACCAUCUCAAAGAAAAAAUUUACAAAUCACUGCUAUACCGUAUCGGCGUAUAACUCCACCAUGUACCAGCUUCAAAAAAAAAGGAUUUAAGUUAUGUUGCUCAUUGCUAAAUAAAUGUGUUUACGUGUUUCUUCCAGCUGCAGAUUUUACCGUACCUCGGCCCCACAAUGUGUACCAGCUAGGAGUCUACUUAACCACCUUCAUCGACUUCAAAGAAACGACUUGCAAGUUAUGUCAGAUUCCAUAAAAUUAUAUAUAGCUAGCUAGAGGGCAACUGUCCCUGGUUUCGACCUUCAUCUGUAGCAUACUGAUUUACAAGUUUGUGUCUUCAUGUGUCAGUUACACUGGUUUCGACUAGUCAACUUCGUCCAUGGGGUGAUAGCUAGUAUACUGAUUUACGAGUUUGUGUGUAUGUGUCCUCAUGUGUCAGUUACACUGGUUUCGACUGGUCAACUUCGUUCAUGGGGUGAUAGCUAGCAUACUGAUUUACGAGUUUGUGUGUAUGUGUCCUCACGUGUCAGUUACACUGGUUUCGACUGGUCAACUUCGUCCAUGGGGUGAUAGCUAGCAUUGUAAUUUACCAGUUUGUGUGUAUGUGUCCUCAUGCGUCAGUUACACUGGUUUCGACUGGUCAACUUCGUCCAUGGGGUGAUAGCUAGCAUUGUAAUUUACCAGUUUGUGUGUAUGUGUCCUCACGUGUCAGUUACACUGAUUUCGACUGGUCAACUUCGUCCAUGGGGUGAUAGCUAGUAUACUGAUUUACGAUUUUGUGUGUAUGUGUCCUCACGUGUCAGUUACACUGGUUUCGACUGGUCAACUUCGUCCAUGGGGUGAUAGCUAUAGCAUACUGAUUUACGAGUUUGUGUGUAUAUGUGUCCUCACGUGUCAGUUACACUGGUCAACUUCGUCCAUGGGGGUGAUAGCUUGUACUAUUUACAUUUUGCACUACAUAUGUGUUGGUAACUAUAGUGACUUCAAUCUUUUGUUCUGUAGGGGCUUAUUGUGACGAAAAUGAUCUGAGAGAUGUAGCGUUCAUGAAACCAAACGAAACGCCUGCAGUUCACUGUACUGGAAAUUUCAAGAAACGCUAAGUGAUGAACACUAAAAACAAUUUACUGACAGAAUUAAGAAAUGUGUUGUGCUGCAUGUCAUGUGAUCCAGUGAUCGUAUUCUAUCAUAAACUCAUUGUUCUAAUACCGUUUGACCUUCUGCAUG